AGUGAAUAGUUGAUGUUCUCCAAAAAAUGAUGAUUUGCCUCCUCUUUUUGAUCACUAACACCAUUUACUAACAUUUUAUUGUAUUAACUUUACUUUAAUGUCAUUUAUCUUAUGCUAUUUACUUUAUGCUUUUAUUUUAGCAUCUCAUAUCAUAUUUUCUCUUUGUCCACUUGGACCAUGUUUAUGUUUAUGCUCUUUUUCCUUU
rnacentral:lncRNA from 1 species